UACGAAGGGGGCUAGCGUUGUUCGGAAUUACUGGGCGUAAAGGGCGCGUAGGCGGUGCCUCAAGUCAGGCGUGAAAGCCCCGGGCUCAACCUGGGAACCGCGCUUGAGACUGGAGUACUAGAGUUCGGGAGAGGAUGGUGGAAUUCCCAGUGUAGAGGUGUAAAUUCGUAGAUAUUGGGAAGAACACCGAUGGGCGAAGGCAGCCAUCUGGACCGACACUGACGCUGAGGCGCGAAAGCGUGGGGAGCAAACAGGAUUGAGAUACCCGUUGUA
rnacentral:rRNA from 1 species